rnacentral:siRNA from 1 species
AACAAUAUGAGCCGAUCGAUGAU